AACUAGCUACGAGCUAACCUGAAGCUAACCCAAAAAAAAUAAUAAUAAUAAAAAAAAAAAAAACCUGAAGCUAACCCUGGCUAACCCAAAGCUAAAGCGGAGGUGGGAGCCGAGCUAACGGAUGUAGCCACCUAGCUUCAACCCAACCGGAGCUAACUGGAACACCCAUCGACCUGAACCUCACACGGAGUUUAGGUGGAGGUUUUCUGCGCCUGUUCGUGAGAAGUACCUGUAUUAAAAAAGAUUUAAAUCGAUCUGUUUAAAUGUCACCAUGGCAGCCUGUGUGUCUCCAACAUCAGCUACACAAAGCAGCUAGUCCAUUUGGAUCAUUGGAGACAGCUAUGUGAGGCGUGGUGCCCAGAGAGCUGCAGAGACAACCUUGGCCUCCCUGACGUCUGUGUCUCCUGGUUCGGUUGGGGCGGACCAUCGACAUACAUACAUGUGCCGACACUUUGCGCCCUGUUUUAUAAAAUUUAGUGUUAAAAAUAAAUGUUUUUGCUCAA